AUGCUAGAUUCGAAGCGGUGGCUGCUACAAGAAUGGAAUAUUCUAAAGCAUUCGCUUCUGAAAGAAUUUGAACUAAUUGUGCCACAGAAUGAGAAGAAAUCUCGCGUGGGUCUUGGAAGUUCCAUGUGCAGACGUUAUGGUGAUGUGAAAGAGGAUACCCUUCAUGCUUUACGGGAUUGUCCGUGCACAACUGAUCUUUGGAGGCCGGCAAUUUCUAUUAACAAUUGUGCACUCUUUUAUGCAGCUGGGAAGCAACCUCCCCGCCUAAUCCAGUUGUAG